rnacentral:rRNA from 1 species
AGUGAACGCUGGCGGCGUGCCUAAUACAUGCAAGUCGAACGGAGUGGCGCACGGGUGAUUAAUAUAUAGCUAAUCUGCCCCUUGCUGGAGGACAACAGUUAGAAAUGACUGCUAAUACUCCAUAGCAAGGGAUGAGACUAUAUCGUAUCAGCUAGUCGGUGGGGUAACGGCCUACCGAGGUUAUGACGCGUAACUUGUCUGAGAGGAUGAGCAGUGACAUUGGAACUGAGGCACGGGCCGAGCUACUACGGGAGGGGGCAGUAGGGAAUAUUGGGCAAUGGGGGAAACCCUGACGCAGCAACGCCGCGUGGAGGAUGACACUUUUCGGAGAGUAAACUCCUUUUGUUAGGGAAGCGGUACCUAACGAAUAAGCACCGGCUAACUCCGUGCCAGCAGCCGCGGUAAUUC